CCUGCCGGCGACCGGCGCACGGGUGAGUAACACGUAUGCAACCUGGCCGUGACAGAUGGAUAACCGGGAGAAAUCCCGCCUAAUACAACAUAAUGCCGGGAGGGGACAUCCCCUGCCGGCCAAAGGGGCGACCCCGGUCACGGAUGGGCAUGCGGCGCAUUAGGUAGUUGGUGGGGCAACGGCCCACCAAGCCGACGAUGCGUAGGGGUUCUGAGAGGAAGGUCCCCCACAUUGGAACUGAGACACGGUCCAAACUCCUACGGGAGGCAGCAG
rnacentral:rRNA from 1 species